UCUCGAUUGGUCUAGUGGUAAGGAUACCUGCUUGUCAAAAGAUAAUGCGCAGGUGGCCGGGGUUCGAUUCCCCGAUCGAGAG
rnacentral:tRNA from 1 species